CUGAUAGCAGCCUGAUUUGACAUCAGCUGUUAGUUUCUAUCCGAUUGAACUGGUUUCAAAGAAAUACAUGAAGUGGAUAAUAAUAAAUAAGUGUAUUCAUUUCUCCUCGUGGUCUCAUUUGUGUCCAUUCAUAUGACUGAAAGAUGGGCAGGAAGAAACUCCCCCACAGUUUUGCAUGUGUGGUCCUUGGCAAAAGAAAAAGUGACUCUUUUUUUCAUUUUUUUUUCUUUUUAUGAGGCCAACAGCUGUGUGAAGAGAAACAUUUUCACUGCUGACUCAUUACAAAGACCAGCUGAAAAUCCCGUGCCAAUUCAUUCCUGGUUUGGCAGACAGAAAAGUAAGCGCCCUACGAGGAGAAAUCGCCGCUUCGCGAAAGGCCGUUCUCGUCCCGAGCAGCUCCUCGUUGACCCGAUGGCUUUUCCUCCGGAGCAGCUGUCGGGCCGGCGCGUCACGCGGCUGCGUCUCCCAAAUACAGCCGGCUAAUGAGGCCGGAGCUCUUGAGGACGGCACCGCGGCAUCACGCCGCGCGGGAAGAGUACAGUACGGUACAUAACAUUUCACAAACUAGUGCGAUCGACUGCAUCUCGAGGUCUUUUCUGAGCAAGUCGUGAGACCUCAGAGUGGUUCUCCAGACCCAGAACAGUGCAGGUCAGACCUUUUGACCUCCCCCCAUCCGCCACCCCUCUGGGUCGCUCCUCGGUCCCGUAAAGAGGGUUUUCUUGGGUCACGAGAUUGUUCUGGACGAAAGAAGGCCCGCGGAUCGCCGCCGAAAUAGCCGCCGCUCGCGUCGCCGCACAUUCCUGCUGGUUCGCAUUACAGCGGCGAUGUGGAGCAGCUGGAGUCGGGACGGGUUUAGUAACCGGUGACUCAAAGGGGCUGACGUUGCCUUCAUUCAACGAGUCGGGGGCAGCUCGUGUCCUCCUCCUGCUGCCAAGCGGGUUCGUCGGGUCGAAGGGCGACUUUCGCCGAAUAAGAUCACAUGCGCGCUGAAAAUUAGUCUUUUUACUCUCUGUUCCACUUGUGUAAAAUGGUGACCGAAGCACAAACAGACACAGAAAGCUAUCCAAAAGGAAAAGCCAGCCAGUUUCCCCCGGUGACCUACUGUGAACUGUCGUUAUCAAGUGACCUGGUUUGAUCCACAUCAGAUGAAACGGGAUUUCCACCAGCGGGAAACGUCACCGUUUCAGCAGCAGUGACUUCGGUGGCUGCUUGUCCUGUAUAAAUAGCAGCGGUGCAUAAGCGAAAGCUCGCGGCAGAUAUGAGUGUGCAGCUAGGAGAAGCGCAUGUGACCCAGCAGGCUUUCACCCCCGAGCCGGUUUUAGCGCGGCCCGGCGCUCGGAUAUCAGACCGCCGCGAAUAGGGCCGGGAUCACGUGAGGAGGCGCGGUGCCAGUUGGGUCGCGUCGGUUACGACCUCGCCCACAUUUCUUCACUCUUAAUGUCAGCCCCCGGGAAAUACAUUUCGUGGCUCCCCCCCCUCUUUCAUUCAGCUGCCCAAGAAGUCCCGCCUGAUCAGGUUUGGCGAGAUCUCCGCUUCUGGCGUCACACCACAUUCCACCAAUAAACUGUAUUUCUUGUUGUAUGUGAUUCCCCCCCCAACCACCUGAAUAGUGUUUCCAUAUUUCCCUGUUUUUAUUUAAGAAUUUAUCUUUUGUUAUUACUCGAUAAAUUGAAAACAGUGGUGCAUUAUCCCACCGAAGACCAGCUGGGAUCUAAGAUCCUCCUUUUGUGACAGAACGUGACGCCAGUCGGCUGCCGUUUCUGCAGCAGAUUCCGGUAAAAGAACCUUUUGGCAACAACUAAUAGAAAUUGCAGGCAAUGUUUACCUCUGGCGCCAUUACCCGAACCCUUCUUUUAAUGUAUAUGUGUAUUGAAAAGGCCCCUUCAGACAAUAAUGGCUUGUUUCGCUCCAACAACAACUCCUGACAAGUAAUAAAUAACUUGGU
ensembl:lncRNA